GAUGAACGCUGGCGGCGUGCUUAACACAUGCAAGUCGAACGGUGAAGCAGGAGCUUGCUCUUGUGGAUCAGUGGCGAACGGGUGAGUAACACGUGAGCAACCUGCCCCUGACUUUGGGAUAAGCGCUGGAAACGGCGUCUAAUACUGGAUACGAACAAGAAUCGCAUGGUUACUUGUUGGAAAGAUUUAUUGGUUGGGGAUGGGCUCGCGGCCUAUCAGCUUGUUGGUGAGGUAAUGGCUCACCAAGGCGUCGACGGGUAGCCGGCCUGAGAGGGUGACCGGCCACACUGGGACUGAGACACGGCCCAG
rnacentral:rRNA from 1 species